rnacentral:rRNA from 1 species
UACAGAGGUGGCAAGCGUUGUUCGGAAUUACUGGGCGUAAAGAGCGCGCAGGCGGUCGUGCAAGUCGCGUGUGAAAGCCCCCGGCUCAACUGGGGAGGGUCACGCGAUACUGCUCGACUUGAAGGCAGGAGAGGGAAGUGGAAUUCCCGGUGUAGUGGUGAAAUGCGUAGAUAUCGGGAGGAACACCAGUGGCGAAGGCGACUUCCUGGCCUGUUCUUGACGCUGAGGCGCGAAAGCUAGGGUAGCAAACGGG